rnacentral:rRNA from 1 species
GAAAGAAUAUCGGAGACGGAUGGGCAUGCGGCGCAUUAGCUAGUUGGCGGGGUAACGGCCCACCAAGGCGACGAUGCGUAGGGGUUCUGAGAGGAAGGUCCCCCACACUGGUACUGAGACACGGACCAGACUCCUACGGGAGGCAGCAGUGAGGAAUAUUGGUCAAUGGGCGAGAGCCUGAACCAGCCAAGUCGCGUGAGGGAGUACUGCCCUAUGGGUUGUAAACCUCUUUUGUCGGGGAGCAAAAGCCGGACGUGUCCGGCUGUGAGAGUACCCGAAGAAAAAGCAUCGGCUAACUCCGUGCCAGCAGCCGCGGUAAUACGGAGGAUGCGAGCGUUAUCCGGAUUUAUUGGGUUUAAAGGGUGCGCGGGCGGAUUUUUAAGUCAGCGGUCAAAUCGUGGGGCUCAACCCCAUCCAGCCGUUGAAACUGGGGAUCUAGAGUGUGCGAGAGGUAUGCGGAAUGCGUGGUGUAGCGGUGAAAUGCAUAGAUAUCACGCAGAACCCCGAUUGCGAAGGCAGCAUACCGGUGCACAACUGACGCUCAGGCACGAAAGCGUGGGUAUCGAACAGGAUUAGAUACCCUGGUAGUCCACGCAGUAAACGAUGAAUGCUACCUGUUUGGCCAGA